rnacentral:lncRNA from 1 species
GGGGACUCCAGUUAUGGUACCCUGAGGAAGGAAUCCAGUGAUCCAUUCUCCAUGAAUUCUGUGACAAUCAUGACUGGUCGGCUUUUGGUGACCACGCCCUCCAGGUGGAUGACAUUGGGAUGCUCAAAUUGCCCCAUGAUGCUGGCCUCGCUCAGGAACUCUCGACGCUGUUCAUCAGUAUAACCUGACUUCAGGGUUUUAAUAGCUACUGUGUAUUCACGUUUCCCUGGGUGUUUUAGGCGCCCAAAGCACACCUCUCCAAAUUCUCCUGAUCCAAUGACCUCCUCAAUUUUGAUGAAGGACACAUCUAUCUCUUUGGCAAACUCUCGAAUAGCUUCAUUGGGAUCUUCAUACGUGGAAGGAUCAAUGUAAUACUUCACUCCAAGUCCUCGUGUACUGAUAUACUGCUGCAGGCGGUCUGUGUAUGGAGUCUCUCGCCUUUUACUCUUGAAGAUGAUGGCAAGAAUGGCAAUGGCAGCAAUUACCAAGAAUGCCAGACCACCAAGUGCUGAGCCCACAAUAAGUGGCAGUCGGUCCUGUGCCAUCUCCGAGUGCUCUCCUCCCAUUAAAGUCUGGAAAUACAUCUUUCCACUGUAUGGGCCAUAACCCACUGCUGUUCUAGCUCGUACUUGGAAGACAUAGAUCUUGCCUGGACUCAGAUUUAAUAUAGUGGCCAUGUUAGUUUCACUAGUCAAAGUAAA